GUUUCCGAAGACCUCUGGAUCCUGUAGUCCUGCUGCCGCCAGCCUCCGCGGAGCGCUGCCGACCCAGCUCGCUCCCGCUUGCGAGACCCGAGCUGUUAGGAAGAAAACCCUCUAUGAAAGAGCGAAAGGGAAACCUCACACUUUCUAUUUUUUAACGCGAAAGUUAGAGCAGUUGUAGCUUCCAAGCUGAAGUGGUAUGAUUUUCCCAGAACUUUUUUUUUUAAGAAGAAGGAAAUAUUUUAUCAGCAUAAAAGAUCAGAGUCGUGGCAGCAGCCCAAAGGAAAUCCUUUUUCUUUCCAACGUCUGGAUUGUGAGGAAAGUCAAAAAUAUCAUUUCCCCACCCCUCCUUUUACCUGAAUUUCCUUGGAAAACAAAGGAAGGCUUUUCAUUUAUUUAUUUAUUUAUUUUUUAAUGUUUUACUCGUGGAGAAGUUGCACGUGCAGUGAGCAGAGGCAAGGGGAGAGAGAAGUAGGAAAUCGGGACCGCCGAACCCCUGUCAGCACGUAUCUGUUGACAACGAUUAGCAGCACAGUCAGAGCUGGAAAAGUGCGUUAUUCCAGAGCGUCUUGUUUCAAGAAAUCAGGCAGUACUUGGAUUAUGAGAUUUAGUGGCACAUAAACCUGCAUUUGAAGACUGGCUUUUCCACUUAACUAGCUGUGAGAUCUUCAUUUCUCUGAGCUUCAGUUCCCUUAUUAGAAGAUAGACUGAUUUUCAAUUUGAUUUUUACAUUCAGAAGAUAAACCCUGACCCUGCUCUAGAUUUAAAAGUGAUCAAAUAAUGAUUAAUACUAGUUAUGGUGUUCCAUGAUCUUCCAAGGAGUGGGGUGUUCCACAGAAGUGAGUUUUACAGAUAACUGACUCUCUUGGAUCAACUCUAUGUCCACACCCUGGUUUGCUUUCUUCUUCCCUCUUACUGUCAAUUUAUGCUAUCUUAUUGGAUUUUGUGUAUUUUUGGAAGUCAUCAUUAAUCUUUGCUGGAAUAAGGCAAGGCAUGUAUAAAUAAAUAUAUGCAUUUGAAAAACUAAAAAAUAGCAAGGAACUGCACGAACCUUGCCUUUUUAAAGCACCCAAACUUUUUUUAACUUGAAGGAAAAUUUUUCUGAAGUAAACUGCAUGCUUCAUUGCCUUUUGAAAAUAUGCUGAAUGUCAAGCAGCCUGUGCCUGAAGACUCAAGGUCAUUGCUAUAAAUAUCGAUUAUCGCCCAGGGUUGCACGGAGCUCAGGUCCUUGGGGACCAUUGAAUGGAACCACUGUUUGCCACUAUCCUUCGUAGCCCUGGACCACUGACCUUGUACAGUUCUCCUGUCUGGUCUUGUUUUUGUUUUCUUUUAAAGUUUAUAUACUCUAUUGUCGGAGACUUUUUUCUCCUGCUAUCUGCUGUUCCAAUUUAGUCUCUUUUAGUAACAAGGAGCCAAAAAGAAGCACAUGGGUUUCUUCAUGAGAAAGCUUUUUAAAGGUAUAUUUGCCCAGGAAGCCAGGGGAAACAGAACACAAAGGAAAGUAAGACUGUCCAUGCUUUCUGGCCUUGUCUGGCCUCCAGGCUGGUCUGCAUGCGUGGAUUUCUUCUGUCUCUUCAAGCUUUCCCCACUUACUCGUAGUCACUCCUCCUGCUGUAAUUUCAGCUUGCAAGGUGUCUCUAGUGUGUCUUGAUCCUGACUCAGGCCCCCAAACGACGUUUCUGCAAUGCUACCCACGGCUCACUGGAAAUGUCCCUCUUGGUCUCCUGAUUCAAGUUCCAGAUAGACAACUGGAGGAAGACAAAGAAUGAGAGAAUCUGACUCACCCAGCUCAAGCUUUCAAACCACACCACCCAGGUCGUAGGUCACUGGCAAGCCUAUGGAAGACUCUGCCUGGCCCAGGUGUCUUUACAAUCACAUUCCAAGCAAAUGUUGUCACAGGGGUGGUGUCUUAAAGCUACUGCCACAUUAAGAAGAGAUGGUGAAUGGAGACAGAGUAUCGGAGGAGGGGACAUUGUAGGCACUCCACAUUUGGGGCAUGCAACAGCUUGCCGACUACGUCUGUCUGCUGCCUUAAUUUAUACGCAGUUGUCUUGGUGAGGCUGUGAAGGCGGUUCCAUUCACCUCUCCGACAGAAAAAACUGCAUAGGUUUUGCAACGAUCAUUGUCAUUUCAACUUUAUCAUCAUAUACCUAUAAAUAUGUUUGUAUAUUUAAGAUGUGACAUAUGUUUUGCCUUUACUAUCAUGCAUUUAUGAAUGUGUUUAUAUAUAUGCCUAUAAAUAUUUGUAUAUACACAUAGAUCUGUGUGUGUGUGUAUAUUUAAGAUGACAUA